UGUACAAGGUAGGUUACAAUUGAACUUGUGUAUUGUGUUUAGAUAGGAUAUGGAGUCGUGUCCUAAUAGGACACUUGUAUCAUAGGCCUCUCAUAUAUAGCGGGGGUAGACACACGAUGUAACCUAUGCCAACAUAAUAGCACCUGAACAACUUGUAUCAUAGGCCUCUCAUAUAUAGCGGGGGUAGACACACGAUGUAACCUGUGCCAACAUAAUAGCACCUGAACGCAGGGGAAGCCGGUGGCAUGUGCCGGUGUCCAGGGCGACCGGGUGCGGUAUUGUAGCUGUAUCAUGGGGAGGAGCACCGGGGAUGUAGCCAUAUCGGUGAACCUCGUUAACAAAUCUC
rnacentral:lncRNA from 1 species